GACGAACGCUGGCGGCGUGCCUAACACAUGCAAGUCGAACGGGACCAGUCUUGGUGGCAACAUCUUGGUUGGUUUAGUGGCGAACGGGUGAGUAACACGUGAGGAACCUGCCCCGGAGACCGGGAUAACAGGAGGAAACUUCUGCUAAUACUGGAUGUCCCCAUUGUGCCGCAUGGUGUGGUAGGGAAAUGGGUUUCCGCUUCGGGAGGGUCUCGCGGCCUAUCAGCUUGUUGGUGGGGUAAUGGCCUACCAAGGCGUCGACGGGUAGCUGGUCUGAGAGGACGAUCAGCCACACUGGGACUGAGACACGGCCCAGACUCCUACGGGAGGCAGCAGUGGGGAAUCUUGCGCAAUGGGCGGAAGCCUGACGCAGCAACGCCGCGUGCGGGAUGAAGGCCUCGGUUGUAACGCUUCUAGCAGGACGAAGUGACGGUACGUGCAGAGAAGACCC
rnacentral:rRNA from 1 species